rnacentral:tRNA from 1 species
UGAUAGACUAGUGGACAUGGCAUCUGCCCGGUAAGCGGAACACUGUGGGUUCGAUUCCCAUCCUCUUCACAA